rnacentral:misc_RNA from 1 species
UUUCCGUAGGUGAACCUGCGGAAGGAUCAUUCAUAAUAAAGUGUUUUAUCGCACUUUUUAAAAAUCCAUAUCCACCUUGUGUGCAAUGUUAGAUCUCGUCAAUCUUGGCGAGAUUUUUAUACAUCAACUCAUUCUUUAACUAAUUUGUCUGAAAAAUAUUAUGAAUACUUAAUUCAAAAUACAACUUUCAACAACGGAUCUCUUGGCUCUC